rnacentral:lncRNA from 1 species
AAAUGUUCUGGCGUUUGGGGAAGGCAUUGUCAAAGCCACGGCUAUCUAUUGUGUCUGUGUGGCUGACUCUCCCUCUCUCCUCUCUCUCUCCCUCCGCUCUCCCAAUCCUGGGCCUCUCUCAGCUCUGGAGCGAGGGAUUGACAGAGAGAGAAAAGAAGAAGAGAAGCGUGGCGGCGAUUUGGCAGCUGCCCGGUGCCCAGCUGCAUUGGAAAACUCCUGCUGCCUUUUCCUUUGCGGUGGUUCCCUCCCGGAGUGGUUUGUUUGGGGGACUGGUGUCCUGGGUGGGUGUCUGGCUACGCUCCCCUGCGGCAGAUCUGGCUGCUGGGGCUGUGACUGUGGCUGUACCUCCUGGGGGAGCUGAGGAAUGGAGGUCUGGCCAUAGAACCAGAGACAGUAUCCAUAGAAGCCAAUGAGUGGAAGAGAGCAGCCUCACAUGAUCAUUAGCACCACUUCUGGACUAUGCUGUACUCUAGAGGCUGUGGACUGUGUAGAGACUGGGAGACGAGUGGAGGCAGGUCAGUGCAUGUUCUCUCUAUUCCCACUGUUUGAGUGCCCUUUUGUGAGGAUGCCAUCAUUUUGUUCCAGUAUAUGAUAAUAUGGCUAGGAUCAUGAUAUCCAGGCCUACUCUGAAACACUCUGUGACUUUGUUUUCCCUACUUUGAUUCAUACUCAGUAUUAUUCUGCCUUAUGCGCUUUCCGACUGUACAUACAAUGUAUUGUAAAGUUAUGUGAGGUUUUCUCAGAAAUACUAUAUGUCAGCAAUUGAAAUGACUAGGUAAAGGGAAUUACUGUAUUCCAAUCAGAUGUGGGUCACCUGUCUACCAUGACCAAACAUUACAGAAGAGCUGAAAGUCAUGCAUCCCUCUGUUCAGUUCCAUUGAAACACAAAACCUAAGUUUCCAGUCCAAAACCCUUCUCAAACCCUUCCAACGCCUUGUCCACAAGGAGGUCUCUAGUCCUGUUGUAUGUGGAUUGAGGACACAACCCUCUUUCUCUCUCUCUCUCUCUCUCUCUCUCUCUCUCUCUCUCUCUCUCUCUCUCUCUCUCUCUCUCAUCCUUUGAAAGCACUGGUACUGACCUUGGGAAAGAUUCCACCUCCAAAGAAGAGAAGAGCUGAGAGAGAGAGGGGGGGGGGGGGGGUAUGUGAAGCCCCCCUGCGAGAGAGGAAGUCACAACACAAAAACAUGGCUGGCUCAGCAUUCUGUUAGCAGUCUGUUUUGAUAGGCCUGGUCUGUCCUGGUUUAGCCUGAGAUAAUGCUUCUCCAACAUAGUACCUAUGCCAGUGAACACAAUGACCGCCUUGGAUGCCCUCUUAGGGGUACACACUGCCCCCUUCACCCCUCUCGGGAGCCAUUUUAAUAAGCUCACUCACUGUGUGGUCCGUGGCUGUUCAGAGCCCAUGAAGAGGUAUUGUGGGAUUGAGGACACCUCGAUACCAUGAGAGCUCUUAAAUAACACAGUAUGCGAAAGCCAAAAGGUUAUCAAAGUUUAAGCGCAAUGACGUCAAAUCUGAUAUAGUAUGAUGUCUUACAAAGUAUUACUGCUCUUACGGAAUCCUCCUUCCUUUUUUCCCCAUCAGCCUGGGAGGGAAUCCGACCUUCGAUAUCUUUAUUGAUUCGGACAAUGAGCACGUUGGGAUUUUUUUAAAUCAAUGCGCUUCCUAAGUUCUACCCCUGCUUUAACACUUUCUGCAGGACAUUCAGUACUGAUUGAAAGUGUGAGUGAGUUUACAAUAGUUCCUUCUGAGGGCCGUUGGCACCACGUGAACAGUGUGUGUGUGUGUGUUUGUGUGUGUGUGUGUUUGUGUGUGCAUGUGUGUGUGAGUGUGUGUGUUGCUCUGGUCUGGGAGGUACAAAGGCUCCUUACCUCAUGGCAUUGGCAUUCCCUGAGAGAAUGAGCAGGAACAGAGAGAGGGAGCAGGCACACACUGGGGGUAUUCAUAGGGCCCGUCCCCACGGAAGGAGCCAGGGUUGAGUAUUAGCCCCUAUUAAGAAACAAAGC